GGCUUUCGAGAUAUACACAGCUUUAAUUUAACCAUGUUGGCAUAGCAAUGCUAGAGAUUUAUGGAGAAUCAUGGGUCCUUGUGUGCUAGAGUAUUAAGAUCAAAGUACUACCCUUUAGGAGAACUACAAAAUUGUGAGUUAAAGAAGGGGUCAUCAUAUGUAUGACAAAGUAUUUGGGGAGAUGUGCAAACCUUCAAGAAGGGGUGUAUAGGGAGAGUUGGUGAUGGAGCAAAAUUCAUAUUUGGAAUGUCUGUUGGAUUAUGA
rnacentral:rRNA from 1 species